UACGUAGGGUGCAAGCGUUAAUCGGAAUUACUGGGCGUAAAGCGUGCGCAGGCGGUUCUAUAAGACAGAUGUGAAAUCCCCGGGCUCAACCUGGGAACUGCAUUUGUGACUGUAGAGCUGGAGUACGGUAGAGGGGGAUGGAAUUCCGCGUGUAGCAGUGAAAUGCGUAGAUAUGCGGAGGAACACCGAUGGCGAAGGCAAUCCCCUGGACCUGUACUGACGCUCAUGCACGAAAGCGUGGGGAGCAAACCGG
rnacentral:rRNA from 1 species